UGUGAAAUUGUUGAAAGGGAACCGUAACGUUGCCAGUGUUGUAUCCUGUGCAUAUUUCAUUGGGGGAGAAAUUUCCUGGUGCCCUGUGCAUGGGUGUGACGUCAGAGUCAGUUUGUAUGCUGCGGGAGAUGGAUAGUGAGGAGGUGCGCCACUUGUGGAUGUUAUAGCUCGCUAUUCUAGUAGCCGUGGUUGAGACUGAGGUGCCUACAACAUGCUUUAGGGUUCAAUGUGAUCUUGUUUUGUUGACUGUUUGGAUUGCUUGCAAUGCUGAUGGUUCUCAGGGCAAUUGUUUGUGUUGAUAACCCUUGCUGUUCGGGACUCUGGCGAAAUGGAGCGUUACGACCCGUCUUGAAACACGGACCAAGGAGUC
rnacentral:rRNA from 1 species